AAGUCGUAACAAGGUUUCCGUAGGUGAACCUGCGGAAGGAUCAUUCAUAAUAAGUGUUUUAUGGCACUUUAAAAUCCAUAUCCACCUUGUGUGCAAUGUCGGCCUGAUCACAUCCAGCAAAUGGUGGGUGUGUGAAAGGUUUCAUUAUCCACAUCAAAUGGUUUUUUCUUUAGUCUACAUUCUUUGAGUAUAAAAAACAAACUCAAAUACAACUUUCAACAACGGAUCUCUUGGCUCUC
rnacentral:misc_RNA from 1 species